UCGAGAAUCUUCGGCAAUGAGCGCAAGCUUGACCGAGCGACGCCGCGUGCGGGAUGAAGGCCUUCGGGUUGUAAACCGCUGUCGUAGGGGAGGAAGGCUCCGUGAAGAACGGGGUUUGACCUAUCCUAGGAGGAAGGACGGGCUAAGUUCGUGCCAGCAGCCGCGGUAAUACGAACCGUCCAAACGUUAUUCGGAAUUACUGGGCUUAAAGGGUAUGUAGGCGGCGCUGUUAGUCGGGUGUGGAAGCCCUCGGCUCAAUCGAGGAAUUGCGCCCGAUACCGCAGUGCUUGAGGGAGACAGAGGUAAGCGGAACUGAUGGUGGAGCGGUGAAAUGCGUUGAUAUCAUCAGGAACACCGGUGGCGAAAAGCGGCUUACUGGGUCUCUUCUGACGCUGAGAUACGAAAGCUAGGGGAGCGAAGGGGAUUAGAUACCCCCGUAGUCCUAGCUGUAAAACGUUGAGCACUUGA
rnacentral:rRNA from 1 species